rnacentral:ncRNA from 1 species
GCGUGGGUCGGCCCGCUGUACUGGAUCCAGUGGGCUGGGGGACACCGCCGCCUUCAUCCCCGCGGGCGGCGGACCGGUCCGGGAGGUGAACUCCACCUCCCGGACUGUG